CUCCAGGCAGCACCCCACCCCAGUCCUCCCAGGGCGCCGGGGGUCAGGCUCGGCCUGGGCUGGAGUAGGGACGACAAAUAGAGGCUGGAGAGGCCUGAGCGCCAGGAGAGCAUCCCAACCGGUACAACUCCAGCGGGCUUCCUACCACCUGCUCGACCGCCCUGGCAGGGCAGUGCGGUGAGGGGGACGCGGCCUCUGCCAUCUGCCGGCCCUGGGCUCAGCGUGGUGCCCGAGGAGGAGCGCUGGAGGAGACCAGACGCCUCGCCCCACCCUGCCUCUGGGUAUUGGGAGACUGGCGGGCAUGGGGAAUGGAGAGCCGUCCUUAAGGCUCCUUCUAAAGGACCCGUCCUGGGGAACCGGAGACACCUGGAGACGCUGCCGUCUGGGCAGCGCGCAGGGCGGGGCUCUGGUCACUGAGACACAGCCCCACGUUUAGCGGCCAGCAAGAGGGGGAGU